UUGCAGAAUUGGAAGAACAAAUGAGGAAUUUGCAGGAAGCAACUCAAAGGAAUGCCGAGGACCUAAAUGAUUUCAAGAAGGAGAUGAAGGAGGAAUUAAACAAGACUUCUUUAACAAAUAAUGCCAUUCUGGAGGACUUGCGACAAAUGAUGAUCACUCAUGUGGUGGAAAGGAAUAAGGAGAGCAGUAGUUCAAAUGAGGGGGGAAGAUUGGAAACCCUGUUGAUGGGGGUUUUUUGGGGAAAAAGGGAAAGAAAUCAUCAAUUCUGAUUCCAAUGGAGUGACAAGUGAGAAUUCCUUACCAAUGCCUAAGGAAACUCUGAAUCUUCAAGGAAGUUCUAGUUCUGUCAUGGAAUCAGGCAUUCAAAGCAUUACACUUGGAGUGUUUAGUCCUACCCCAGAAGCAAUUAAUACUGAUGCUUGGAUUAAGGAUGAAGAUGAACAAAAGUUUGAAGAGAAAAUUUCAAGAUCUCUUAAGCAUUUCAAUAGUCAAUCAGAUGGUAAUAAUGAUCAAGAUCCUACCCUCAACCUGAAUUCUUCCAUAAGAGAUGGGUGCCUUGAAGAGGAAUCAUUUGGGAUUCAAGAUGACAUAGGUAUCAAUAGUGCUGUUAAAAAUAUUGAAAUCUUAAAAGGUAUGCUUCUUGGCCCUAGACUUGUCAAAAUUUCUAGAAACAAAAAGGUUGUUUCCCUUGCUGAGAAUGUUUUUAUUAAAGGAGAAGACAUGGAAGUUUAUGAAGAAGAGAAGUAUUGGAAUCUUGGUGGUAGCAUAUUUGAGUUGAGAUCAUGUAAUCAUAUGAUACUCAAGGAGAAUGAGUUUGAGAUCUGGAGAAGACAGAGGAAAAAAAAUAAAUUCCUUGUCGAAGGAUGAUUGCAUUGGAAAUUUGUGCUGCAAUGACAAAGUAAACUGCAAAAGUGUUAUGAGAUUUGAUAAAAAGAAUUCUGCAGAGAGCAUUUUUCCUUUUGCUGAAAAUGUUAAGGAAAAGUAUGAGAUGGCUUCCAUUUAUGGCUGGUCAUCAGGUGGUAUGGUGAUCUGAAAGGACCGAAAAUUGGAAAUUUGGAGAAAGCAAAGAAAGAAAGUUAGCUCCUUGUCAAUUAAGAGUUCAUACUUUCAUAUGUCUUUUCUCAAAUGGAAGUUCAGACCUAAUAUUUUCUCACACCCUAUGAUUUCAUUCAUUGGCAAUAGGGGCAAUUGACAGCUGCUGCAAUUCUCCAAUCUGAUCAUAUUAGAAGAGGAAAAAGAAAAAGAAAGUAAGGAAGAAAGAAAGAAAGAAAGAAAGAGCGAGCAAGAGGAGUGAAGUAGUCUCCUCUUGGGUCGAAUGGAAGGAUUAGAAGGGAUAAUACAGAGGUUGUUGGAAGGAAGGAAUAACAGAGGUAAACGCAUUCAGCUUACUGAGCCUGAAAUUCGAAACCUUUGUCUCGCUGCCAAGCAAGUCUUCCUCGCCCAGCCUGUUUUUCUUGAACUAGAAGCUCCCAUCAACAUCUGUGGAGACGUACACGGCCAAUAUCCAGAUCUCUUGCGGCUGUUCGAGUAUGGUGGGUUUCCGCCAGAUUCCAGCUAUCUCUUCCUUGGAGAUUAUGUAGAUAGAGGAAAACAAAGUAUAGAGACUAUAUGCCUUCUCCUAGCUUACAAGAUCAAGUUCCCAGACAAUUUUUUCCUCCUCCGAGGGAAUCAUGAAUGUGCUUCUAUAAAUAGAAUAUAUGGAUUCUAUGAUGAGUGCAAGCGUCGUUUCAGUAUCCGUCUGUGGAAAACGUUUACUGAUUGCUUCAAUUGUUUACCAGUAGCUGCAGUGGUCGACGACAAAAUCCUCUGUAUGCAUGGUGGUCUCUCACCAGAAAUGGAGAGCUUGGAUCAGAUCAGAGCUAUAGAAAGGCCGGUUGAUGUGCCAGACCAGGGCCUUUUAUGUGACCUCCUAUGGGCUGAUCCUGAUAGAGACAUCAAAGGGUGGGGUGAGAAUGAUAGGGGUAUCUCCUAUACCUUUGGAGUUGAUAAAGUAGCUGAAUUCUUGAAGAAACAUGAUCUUGAUCUCAUAUGCCGAGCUCACCAGGUGGUUGAAGAUGGAUAUGAAUUCUUUGCAGACAGGAAGCUUGUUACAAUUUUUUCUGCUCCCAACUAUUGCGGUGAAUUUGAUAAUGCUGGUGCAAUGAUGAGUGUUGAUGAAACCUUAAUGUGCUCGUUCCAAAUACUUAAGCCUGCAGAUAGAAAGUCCAAAUUCAUGUGAAAAGGUCGUGUGCUAUUGCUUACAAUUGCUAACAACUUAAUUAUGCCCGUCUGUGAUUUGAGAAACAUUUGAAGAUUGAUAUUCUGAACUCAGAACUCCAGCUUUGAAGUGGUGCAAAUACCACGUCUCUAACGUUGAGGAUAGGAAUCUGUUGAUUAUAGUGUUUGGAGGAGGAAUACUCGAUUCUCAGUUUGGAGCUAACCACCGUUAGUGCAGUGGCACAGGCCAGAAGUUUAUCCG
rnacentral:misc_RNA from 1 species